rnacentral:rRNA from 1 species
ACCCGCUGAACUUAAGCAUAUCAAUAAGCGGAGGAAAAGAAACCAACAGGGAUUGCCCUAGUAACGGCGAGUGAAGCGGCAACAGCUCAAAUUUGAAAUCUGGCGUCUUUGGCGUCCGAGUUGUAAUUUGCAGAGGGCGCUUUGGCAUUGGCAGCGGUCCAAGUUCCUUGGAACAGGACGUCACAGAGGGUGAGAAUCCCGUACGUGGUCGCUAUCCUUCGCCGUGUAAAGCCCCUUCGACGAGUCGAGUUGUUUGGGAAUGCAGCUCUAAAUGGGAGGUAAAUUUCUUCUAAAGCUAAAUACUGGCCAGAGACCGAUAGCGCACAAGUAGAGUGAUCGAAAGAUGAAAAGCACUUUGGAAAGAGAGUUAAAAAGCACGUGAAAUUGUUGAAAGGGAAGCGCUUGCAGCCAGACUUGCCUGUAGUUGCUCAUCCGGGUUUUUACCCGGUGCACUCUUCUAUAGGCAGGCCAGCAUCAGUUUGGGCGGUUGGAUAAAGGUCUCUGUCAUGUACCUCUCUUCGGGGAGAACUUAUAGGGGAGACGACAUGCAACCAGCCCGGACUGAGGUCCGCGCAUCUGCUAGGAUGCUGGCGUAAUGGCUGU